CCUACAGGUUUAUUGUCCCCCUUGACAAGUUAUACAACAUUCUGUUUGACAAACUCACGGCACCUGAACUCUGCCCACAUAAACUUUAUCACACUGCAGGUCAAAACUGAGGGGGAAAGAAAUAAUAAAACCAAUGACAAAACAUGAGUUUAUGAUGUUCAUCUCACCUCUGUUCUAUAUGCAAAUACACAACAAUGACUGUCAAAAGGAAAAGAGACUUGAAACAUUUUUACAUAACCACAUGAUGGUACAGUAUCUCUCCUGUACUCUGAAUAUUUUGGAUUCAUUUGCCUAUCUGGUUAGUCUGGAAUUAUUUAACCAGCCGCAUUGCAAGCAACCGUCUGUCUCUCUGCAUUAGGGUUUCACAUUAGAGCAUUGCUCAGUUCUGUCUCUCUUUAUCUGUGGCCACACACACACACAUUAGAGAGUCCCACCCACAUACACGCAUGAGGAAAAGAAAUGAAAACGAAACUGUUUGCUGAGUCCCUUUAACACCGAGCUCCUCACGCAAAUGGCAGAGAAGGACCCACUUGUGUGCUCAAUUUGCCUCCAGGACUUGCAGGAAAACAGCUGCCCUCAGUGUAAACACAACUCCUCAUCAGAUCCGGAUGAAUCCGUAGCUUCGGUUGCAGAGCGACUAGAGAGGACAGGACUUCAGACGGACACAGCUGAGAAUGGCCAAGCUGAAGAUGUGGAGUGCGACUCCUGCACUGGUAUCAAGGAAAAAGCCGUCAAGACUUGUCUGGUGUGUUUGGCGUCUUACUGCGAAACUCACCUCAAGAUGCACAACGACCUGAGUGCAGGGAAAGCACACUUACUGGUGGAGGUCACCGGACAACUCCAGGGAAAGAUGUGCACCGAGCAUCAUAAGCUCCUGGAGGUUUACUGCCGCACUGACCGCCAGUGCAUCUGCUGCCUUUGCAUGCUGGACAUGAACCACAAAGGACAUGACAUGGUCUCGGUCGCUACAGAACGAGCAGAGGAACAGAGGCAGCUGGAAAAGUCCAAGCAGAUGGUUACGAGUCGAGAGACUGAGCUGAAGGAAAUCCAAAAGGCUGCAGGUACCCUCAGGAAUCUGACUCAAGCCACAGAGGAAGAAGGUGACCGGAUCUUUACCGAACUGCUUGGCUUUAUACGGAGAAGCCACACGGAGAUGAUUGGCUGGUCCAAACUCAGAUGACCACGGAGUUGGACCGAAUUCAGGGACAUUCGGAAGGUCUGGAACAGGAGAUCUCAAAGCUGAGGAGGAAACGGUCUGAGCUGGAGCAGCUUUCACAUACUGAUGAUCACAUCCAUUUCCUCCAGGAGGUCCAAUCUCGCUGGCCGACUUCUCAGUGUACUGACUUUCCCAGCUUAACCACUAAUCCACAGUUCUCUUUUGGAGAAGUGAUCAAGUCCCUCUCCUCAUUAACAGCACAAAUAGAGGACAUUUGGAGACUGGAAAUGACCAAGAUAUUCUCAGCAGUGACUGCAGAGAAGAUCCUACUGCCGCUAGAACCCCAAACGAGGGAGGACUUUCUACAGUGUAAGUCGUUCUUUUUGCUUACAUUUAAAAAGAACCAAAACUUCACAAUGAAAGGCAAAGGUACAAUAGGAAAAUCCUUAUCCCCUCCAUAUUGCUUAGGUCUGAUUUUUUCCCCAAACAAGUUCAGCGCAAAAUCCACCCUGCAGCCGAUUUCUAAAGAAUUCUUUGGUCAAUUAGCCUGAACAGGUAGGUACAGAUUCUCGCGAUGAGUCUCCCAGCCACACCCACCGGUCAACAACAGCAGGAGUAACGGGAGACCCGUCCCAAAGGAUACAAAUCAUUUUAAUUCUUCCUUCACAUUAAGUUCUGUUUUACAUAUUAAGACCACUUACCAGGCCCGGCGCCAGAGGGGGGACCAGGCCCCCCCAUGGACAUCCCUGUGUCCUACUCCGGUCCAAGAACGUGAUUUUAGCUGAAGGGGACACCCUCCCCGGAACACGAUUUCAACCAAGGAGGAUCCCCCCUGGAACACGAUUUCAACCGAGGGGUAUCCCCCCGGAACGACGUGAUUUCAACCAAGGAGGAUCCCCCCCGGAACACAAUUUCAACCGAGGGGUAUCCGCCUGGAACGCAAUUUCAACCGAGGGGGAUCCCCCGGAACACGAUUUCAACUGAGGGGGAUCCCCCCCGGAACGUGAUUUCAUUUUGGUACCCCCCAUAUCCUGGCGCCGGGCCUUCCACUUACUAUUUGUGUGAGAUCCAAGUAAGUGUGCAUACAUUGGUCUUGGCUGAGCUUUGCUUGGGUUUUGCAUUUUCACCUUGUUUCUCAUCUCCCAUCAGUUCUGGUUUCCUUGAGUCUGGACCCAAACACGGCCCAUAGGAACCUUCGGUUAAUGGAGCAGAACCGGGCUGUGGAUU